CAGCGCCUAGCUCCCAGGCGUUGCAGUAGUGCAGCGCCUGAGAGCUAGGCGCCACGGGUCAGCCGCGUGAAAUAGUUUCACGGACAGUUCAUUCUGUGAUUUGAUUUCGUCUAUAGGUCAAAUUUGUCAAAUUUGCCGGGUGUGGGGGUGGAACGUUCGGGCUGAGGGGUUUUUGGGCCGAACAAAUUUGUUCGAUCGAUUGACCAUCCAGUACGAACGAGUCAUUCGGUCUGCGAGACCCCAAGACCGAACGUACGGUACUUAUCGACGUCCAAAGAAAAAUGCUUUGGCUGCAUACGUAUAAUUGUUGGUAGGCUUGAGUAUGUAUCUUUGACCAAUUCCGUCCUUCCAUGUCGUAUCAAAUCUAUUUUUUAUUUUGUUAGGGUAUCAAAUCUAUUUAUUUAGGUACUUGAGUUAAGGGCAUAGCGAAGAGAACAACCGGCCGAUUGCGUUGGAUUACCCUUCUCGCAUGCAAUAUCUAUCCAUUUAAUUGCUUGCCAACAUUCAUAUUGUCUAUUUAUUGAGAAUAUCACAGAUGAAACAAGAAAAUAAUUCAAUUGAUACGGGCAGAUAGGCAGGAACAAACAUUCUUCUUCCUUGGUCCUUCUCGGCCGCGGUCUCCAUCUCACCAUAUAGAGGACGACCGCGGUCCAUAUGGUAGAGCUGAUUAGAACACAUAUAUUGUCCCAUUUACAACACACAUCAACCAAGCAUCCAUCAGAUCAUCGAUCUCAGGUCCAUGGACAAGCACAAGAGUCGCACGCGUGCACCAGCCUUGCUGCUCCCUAUGCUGUUUCUCGCGUGUUUUCCCCUUUACGCUCAAUGCCGCCUCAUCGAGGGCACGGGCGACGACAAGAUCAAUAUACCGGGCGGGCUCUGCGUUCAUCAUAGAGACUGCAAACCGGGCAAUUGUUGCUUCUGGUGCCUAGUGCUGGAUCUGUGCUAUGCAUCAAUCGGCGAGUGCAAGAAAGAGUGCCAAGGCCACAUCGACGCGCGCCUCUUUAACCUUCCGUCGCCGUCAAAUUGAGUUCCUUGAUCUUGAACCGGCAACCUGUUCGAGCAGGACUAGUGGUCUAAUUUGUUGUAUUCUUUUGAAGUCGCCGGUAGUUGUUCUAAUAAUAAGAAUAUAUAUCUCAACGAUUUGUUUCAAUUUCUUAUUAGGGAAAUCUCUAAUUAUCAAGUUUGUUUGUUGUCCA